AUCUUUGCGCUUGGGGCAAUGACGCAGCUAGUGAGGUUCUAACCGAGGCGCGUCUAUUGCUGGUUGAAAACUAUUUCCAAACCCAAACCCAGGCCUUCGAGAAUUUCUGGAAGGGCUCCUUUUUGGUAAAGCC